GAUGAACGCUAGCGGCAGGCUUAAUACAUGCAAGUCGAGGGACAGCACAGGUAGCAAUACUGGGUGGUAACCGGCAAACGGGUGCGGAACACGUACACAACCUUCCUUUAAGUGGGGGAUAGCCCAGAGAAAUUUGGAUUAAUACCCCGUAAUAUAGUUGAAUGGCAUCAUUUGAUUAUUAUAGCUACGGCGCUUAAUGAUGGGUGUGCGGCUGAUUAGAUAGUUGGCGGGGUAACGGCCCACCAAGUCUACGAUCAGUAGCUGAUGUGAGGGCAUGCUCAGCCACACGGGCACUGAGACACGGGCCCGACUCCUACGGGAGGCAGCAGUAAGGAAUAUUGGUCAAUGGACGCAAGUCUGAACCAGCCAUGCCGCGUGAAGGAUUAAGGUCCUCUGGAUUGUAAACUUCUUUUAUUUGGGACGAAAAAGGGCCUUUCUAGGUCAACUGACGGUACCAGAUGAAUAAGCACCGGCUAACUCCGUGCCAGCAGCCGCAGUAAAAC
rnacentral:rRNA from 1 species